rnacentral:tRNA from 1 species
GAGGGUAGAGCUCAGUGGCAGAGCACAUACUUGGCAUGCACAAGGUCCUGGGUUCAAGCCCCCAGUACCUUCA